rfam:Gossypium raimondii Chr07_contig_1055, whole genome shotgun sequence.
AUACUUACCUGGACGGGGUCGAUGGGUGAUCUGCAAGGCCCAUGGCCUGGGUUAGCGACCUCCAUUGCACCUGGGAGGGGCGCUCGCCUAAGGUCUCCUCAAGUAGGAGAGCCUACGUCAUAAUUUGUGGUAGUGGGGGCCUGCGUUCGCGCGGCCCCUGU